rnacentral:lncRNA from 1 species
CCCCAGCCUGGGGAAUGGUGUCGGCCACUUUUAAGGCGGCAUGGAAUGUUUGGACACCAGGGAAGAGGGAGAACUACCCAGAAGGCAGAGCUGACUGUGGGAGUUUGGAGGAAAGCUGUACUGGCCCAAGGGAGACUCAAAACCAUGGAGCUGCAGGCAGGCAUCUACUGUUGCUCCACAAGAAAGGAUAGCGAAAGAUGUAGUUUCCGGGUGCAUGUGUGCCCAUGGAGACCUGAGACUGAUAUCAGGAAUAGUUCUCCAUCACUCUCUCCUGAUACAUCAGCUGAACCCAGAGCUAGUCUUGCUCCAUCAGGGAUUCCCCUGUCCCCACCUUUUGAGGUACCGCAUCUGCAGGAAGGCCUCUGUGCCCAUAUUCUGACACGCACCUUCUGCAGAUCUGAAUCUGGCUUCUCAAGUAUAAGCAGCGAGCGCUUUCUCCAGGGAGUCAUCUCUGCAGCCUCCUGACCAGCUUCUUAACUGCUCUCCGCUCAGUGGCUUUUAAUAUUUUGAGGUAGCAUAUUCUGGACUGAGGAUUAAACUCAAGACCGAGCACGUGCUAGGUCAGGCCACACACCCUUGCUUACUGGGUAGCUACGGUGACCUGCACAAGACCCUUACAAAAUCAAGCCAACAUGAACAACCAACAUUCCAUCAGGCUGCAUGGACUGCACUCAGUCUGUUAACAACAAAAGCAAAAACAAAAACAAAAACAAAAAAAGAAAAAGAAAGAAGAAGAGGCUGUGGGUGUGGGGGAGGAACACUGUGUGUGUGUGUGUGUGUGUGUGUGUGUGUGUGUGUGUGUGUGUGUGUGUGAGGGGAGUGGAGGAGGGAUCUGGGAUGCAUAUGAUCAAGAUACAACAUGUAUAUCUAUGACAGUGUCGAAGACUGAAUAAAAGAUAUUCUAAGUAUUUUCCUAUAUCUUUUCUGAGACUCUAAUCCCCC